UAGGGAAUCUUGCACAAUGGGGGAAACCCUGAUGCAGCGACGCCGCGUGAGCGAUGAAGCCUUUCGGGGUGUAAAGCUCUUACGCCAGGGACGAUGAUGACGGUACCUGGAGUAGCAGCUGCGGCUAAUUACGCGACAGCAGCCGCGGUAAUAUGUAGGCAGGAAGCGGUGUUCGGACUUACUGGGCGAAACGCGACGGUGGGAGGUUGUUUAAGUCUGCUGUUAAGGCGGGCGGCUGAACGGCAUCUC
rnacentral:rRNA from 1 species